GACGAACGCUGGCGGCGUGCUUAACACAUGCAAGUCGAACGGAAAGGCCAUGCUUUUGUGCGGCGCUCGAGUGGCGAACGGGGGAGUAACACGCGAGUAAAAUGCCCUUGACUUAGGGGUAAAACCAGGGAACUGGGGCUCUAACCGGAUAGAAGCUCCUGAUGCGUGGGGGGGGUUGGAAAGUUGCGGCGGUUGGGGAUGGUCUCGAGGCUUAUCAGCCUCUUGGUGGGGUAGUGGCGUACCAAGGCUUUGACGGGUAGCCGGCCUGGGAGGGUGGCCGGCCACAUUGGGCCUACGAGACGGCCCAGACUCCUACGUGACGCAGCAGGCGGGAAUAUUGCACAGUGGGCGGGAGCCUGAUACAGCAACGCCGCGUGCGGGAUGACCGCCUUCGGGUUGUAAACCGCUUUCGCCGGUAACGAAGCGUGAGUGACGGUAAUGGGUAAAGAAGCACCGGCUAACUACGUG
rnacentral:rRNA from 1 species